UACGUAGGGUGCAAGCGUUGUCCGGAAUUAUUGGGCGUAAAGAGCUCGUAGGCGGUCUGUCGCGUCUGCUGUGAAAACUCAGGGCUUAACCCUGAGCUUGCAGUGGGUACGGGCAGACUAGAGUGCGGUAGGGGGAGACUGGAAUUCCUGGUGUAGCGGUGAAAUGCGCAGAUAUCAGGAGGAACACCGGUGGCGAAGGCGG
rnacentral:rRNA from 1 species